AUGGAAAACAUUUCAGAGCUUUCUUUUUUUUUUUUUUUUUUGGUACCGGGGAUCGAACUCAGGUCCUUGCACUUGCGAGGCAGGCGACGGAACCACUGGGCUAAAUCUCCAGCCCUCAGAGCUUUCAAUGAUAACAAAGAACCCGCUGUGUGCCAUAGGUUCACCACCACUGGCCUAGAUGAACUUGCCCAUGGUACUGCCAUCCUCCCAGAUCAAGUACAUUCACUAACAGUGGUGGCCAUACAUCACAGGAGACUAGAUCUCCUAACCACAGAAGAAGAGCACAAAAGAAGUAACAAAAUAUGCAGAUGUCCCCAACCCCAGGAGGAUGGAGCCUGGUUUCCUUUCCACUGGAAAGAGAAGGAUGAGCUGAAGAUGGCUGAAAGUGAGAAAGCAGGUGUGGAGAUCUGUGCUACCUCUCUGUGCUCCUCCUCCCCUCUGUUCCUUACCAUAAAAGACCCUUGCCCACUUGUACAAAGUGAGAUGAUGAUUUGAAGCAAAUGGGCCCUUCAAUCUCCUAGGAGGUAACUUUAAAUAAAUCCUG
rnacentral:lncRNA from 1 species